UUCCGUAGGUGAACCUGCGGAAGGAUCAUUACUGUGAUUUAGUACUACACUGCGUGAGCGGAACGAAAACAACAACACCUAAAAUGUGGAAUAUAGCAUAUAGUCGACAAGAGAAAUCUACGAAAAACAAACAAAACUUUCAACAACGGAUCUCUUGGUUCUCGCAUCGAUGAAGAGCGCAGCGAAAUGCGAUACCUAGUGUGAAUUGCAGCCAUCGUGAAUCAUCGAGUUCUUGAACGCACAUUGCGCCCCUCGGCAUUCCGGGGGGCAUGCCUGUUUGAGCGUCGUUUCCAUCUUGCGCGUGCGCAGAGUUGGGGGAGCGGAGCGGACGACGUGUAAAGAGCGUCGGAGCUGCGACUCGCCUGAAAGGGAGCGAAGCUGGCCGAGCGAACUAGACUUUUUUUCAGGGACGCUUGGCGGCCGAGAGCGAGUGUUGCGAGACAACAAAAAGCUCGACCUCAAAUCAGGUAGGAAUACCCGCUGAACUUAAGCAUAUCAAUAAGCGGAGGA
rnacentral:rRNA from 1 species